AACGCGAAGAACCUUACCAGGUCUUGACAUCCCACUGCCCGGUAUAGAGAUAUACCUUUCCCUUCGGGGACAGUGGUGACAGGUGGUGCAUGGUUGUCGUCAGCUCGUGUCGUGAGAUGUUGGGUUAAGUCCCGCAACGAGCGCAACCCUUGAUCUUAGUUGCCAGCAUUUAGUUGGGCACUCUAAGGUGACUGCCGGUGACAAACCGGAGGAAGGUGGGGAUGACGUCAAAUCAUCAUGCCCCUUAUGACCUGGGCUACACACGUGCUACAAUGGAUGGUACAAAGGGCUGCGAGACUGCGAAGUCAAGCCAAUCCCAUAAAACCAUUCUCAGUUCGGAUUGCAGGCUGCAACUCGCCUGCAUGAAGCUGGAAUCGCUAGUAAUCGUGGAUCAGCAUGCCACGGUGAAUACGUUCCCGGGCCUUGUA
rnacentral:rRNA from 1 species